AUAAACAAUCUCUCAAGCUCAAGCCCACAUGCUAAAGGACAUACUCUAUUUUUCCAAGGACAGAAGAAGCAGAGAAGCAUUCCAGCUCUGUGUCUGAUCAGUGUUGUCUGAUCAGUGUUGGUCCUCCUGGGUUAAACCCUCUGGCUGCGGGCUGUUUGACCCUCCCUGCUACCCUUACUCCCUGCUCCCCCUGCUGAUGGGACCCAGAGAUGAGAGCUGAUCAAGAGCUCAAAUGAAACGGGGUAGAGUAAAGUCUGGAGGCUGAAGGCUGGAGGCUGGGGCUGGAGCCUGGAGGCUGGUUGCUGGAGGCUGGAGGCUGGUGGUUGAAGGCUGGAAACUGG
rnacentral:lncRNA from 1 species